ACACUUAAUGAACUCUACACUUAGUGUUACUCAGCUGGUAUGAAAUUAAUAAGAGUGUAUCUUAUUAUUCUGUGUAUUAAUAAUGCUACAUUACGAUCUUUGGAAAUUUAAAUUAAAGACUAUGUUUUCUUAAUGAAUGAUCAUAUAAAAAUGAAAAAUCAAAGGAAAAGGAAUUUGUGUAUUGCAUAUUUUUUUAUUUUGAAAUUUCCAUGGAAUAAUACAACACAUUUUCCAACUCACAAUUCAUUAUAUUUCUUGACUUAAUUUCCUCCACACUUACGUUUUUAGAGGUCGAUUCAAUCUAUAAAAAUGAAAUAAAGAUAUAUGAUGAAUCUUCACGUUACAUGUAUGAAAUGAUUUGAACGGUAUAACAUGUCCUGUAAUAAUUGAUCUACAUAGCCGAUCCAAAUUUUGUGAGAUUGAGGCAUAAUCUUUGUUGGAUCCAAUACUACUUAGUAUCAUGAGACAAACAGACAAGGCUUUCAAUAUCCUAUUUGAGGGUAAAAUCCUCAUUAUCAAAGACGACUCCUAUAAGAAAUGUGAUUUCAUCAAUCCAUGUUGAACUGUUUGGAUUUGGCAAGAUCAUAUCAUUUGCAUAUUAUAGAUCUUGCUUCUCAUCCACAACACGAGCACUCACCGUGCAUUCAAUCAUUAUUAAACUGAUUUUUCGGGGAUUGACACUAUCCCAGCCUCGUCAUAUGCCUUUCCCCCCUAUAGCUCCAAUUUUGUGCAUUUUAAUUACCUUUCAUCGAGAGCAUCUAUAGAG
rnacentral:lncRNA from 1 species